rnacentral:lncRNA from 1 species
CGAGCCCGCGCGCGGCCUGCUGGGAGCUGUAGUCCUGGCGGCGCGGGCGCUGCCUGAGGCGAGGUGCGAGGCGGCGGCGCGACCCCCUCUCAGAAAAGCCUUCGACUUCCAGGAGCUUUUCCUGCAGUAGAAGCACAAGUCUCUCCACUCUUCCUGCCCAGUGCCUGCUGGUGUCCCCAGCUGUUCUUCCUAAAACAGUGGAGGUAAGUCAAAAGAAAGGGAGGAACUCCACACCGCUGCUGUUUCCUCAUCCUCAAGAGGUCCUCAAGGAAGUACGGUGCCUCUCCCCGAGGGAGGAAGCCCGAUCCUCUUGCGGGCCAGCUCACAGGCUGGGAAAUUUUGUGCUAGACAGAAGACUGUUUUACACACAGCUGUUUUGCUUCAUGCAGUAGCUGAUAUGGUUUGAUUCAAUAUCCAGAAAUACAAAGCAUCUCCCUUCCCUGCUGUGUGCAUCCUUUGUGAUCUGAUGGCUGGGAUGAAGAACACAAUUCCCUCUAAAACUGAUCUUUGAAGCACUUGGAGCACCUUGGUUCUGCUUCCAGCUCUGCUGUCAUUACCUUUGCUAUGCCUGACUUCAGCCAUCUCUAAAAGAAAUAACAGCUGUGAGGGAUGUGGUGAAGCUUGCAGGCAUUCAGAGAGCUCUUACCCCUUCUUUACUCCUUUAUCCUUAGUUUCUCUUUCACCCAGGAGAAAGACACUCUGGGCACUAGCCAAACAAGGUUGCUCCUUCUUGCUCUAAGAGCAUUAGCAUCUGCGCUCUUACCAUAUGUAUCUUGAAAAGAUAAUUAUGCUUGUGUAGUUCAUAUGACCCAGGGGUAGGCCCUUAACUUAAAAGAAAUUGCAUGAGAGAGGCAGAGAUUUGGCCCCUACUGAAUUAAAAACGUUUCACUUAGCUGCCAGUAGAUGGCUCUCUUAAUUUACAGUCCCAUAUUUACUUCAUUGUUUGUUGAAUUAUGCUGGACACACUUUCAGUGGAAACACAUUUCCAAUACGCUUGAUUGCUUUGAGGAAGUUUACGUAAGAACAAGGAAGCAAUGGACUGAGUAGAUGGAUUAGUAACAAACAAGACCCAAGAUCAGUUUGCUUUUUGCAGAUUGUUUUGUGGGUACAAUCCAAAAGAUUUUUCUUGUGCAGGACCUAACCUUAUAAUUAUCAGGCUCAAUGAGUUAUAUCUGUAUUCCCAGGAUGUAUUUGUCAAAUUCUAUUAUAACCAAGUAAAAAUUCAUUCUUAAAAAAACAUUUUAGUUACUUAUUUUAGAGGGUGCAUGUGGUUUAUGGACAGGUGCCUUGCUGAACAGAUUGAAGUGCUUCUUUAUUCACACCCCUUCAGUGUGGGAGAGAGGAGCGCAGAUGCUGUUUCAGAGAUACAUGCAUGCUAAUAGCGCACUGUGU